AAUGGGGGAAACCCUGAUGCAGCAACGCCGCGUGAGUGAUGAAGGCCUUCGGGUUGUAAAGCUCUGUCUUCGCUGACGAAGUUUUGACGGUAAGCGAGGAGGAAGCCACGGCUAACUACGUGCCAGCAGCCGCGGUAAUACGUAGGUGGCAAGCGUUGUCCGGAAUUAUUGGGCGUAAAGGAUGCGUAGGCGGUCCUUUAAGUGGGAUGUGAAAUCCCUGGGCUUAACCCAGGAAUUGCAUUCCAAACUGGAGGACUAGAGUGCAGGAGAGGAAAGUGGAAUUCCCAGUGUAGCGGUGAAAUGCGUAGAGAUUGGGAGGAACACCAGUGGCGAAGGCGGCUUUCUGGACUGUAACUGACGCUGAGGCAUGAAAGCGUGGGGAGCAAA
rnacentral:rRNA from 1 species